AAAAAAAAAAAAAAAAAAAAAAAAUCGCGUCUUCUUCAUCCCCAUCGCAACUUCCAACUGUUCGUCUUCCGAAGCUCAAUUAAAAUCGAUCUUAUAAUUUCCUAGAUUCAAAUCUAAACCCUUUUCGUUCCUUUUUGUUUAUUUGUUAAUUUUGGAAAAUCAGUACCGUUAAGUUCGUUUUUUUCCCCUUUCCCCAAAGCAUUGAAACAUCUUCGUCUCUCUUUUUCUCGAUCGGUUGUGUAGCUACCAGUAUCACCCAAUUCACGGUCUGCUGUGAACCCACAAAAAGACGUUCAUAAUAACUCCUUCCCUUUUUGGAUCAAUUUAUAGAAAACCCUAUUGCAGAAUCUCAUGAUUUGUUGAGUUCUACAGUGAGAUGUCGGUAGAAAGAUCGUUUGAAGCAUGGGAGGAGGUGCAGCGCCAUGGCCAGGACCUCGCGGACCGGCUGGCCCAGGGAUUUACAGGGUUAUUACAAUCUCAUAUGACUAAUCCCCCUGCUUUUCCCUGGCCAAACUCUCAAAAAUCGAAGUUUUUUGAUCUAGAAUUUCCUGGCCCCAAAAUAGAAGCUUUUAAUUUCAGUAAUAGGGAUUUUGGAGUAUUAACCGAUAGUACUGGGAUAAAUGGAGUUUCUGCGAUUUUCGAUAUUGGAAACAGAAUUGGCCAAGCUGGGGCUGAUUUUGGCGCGGGCUUGAACGGGUUGGUGCAGCAGUUCUUUAGGAGCUUGCCACUGCCUUUUAAGCAGGAGGAGGGCGUCGGGAUGGAGGUUAGGAUGGAUAGUAAAAGGAGUGAUUUGGGGAGGGGUGUUGACGGGGAGUUGGGGUUAGUGAGUGAGAGGUUGAGGGAUUUUGGGUUUGUGGAGAAUGCUGCUGGUGAUGGCGGUGGUAGUAAGCUGGAGGGUUCUGCUGAUGAUGAAACUAGUGGGUUUAAUUUGAAGUCUGUGGGGCAUCUUGGUAAACCGCAGGGGGUUUUAAAUAUCACAUCAACUUAUGACAGUAGAACUCACAACAUAGACAGUUCUAUGGUUGCAAGGGGAGAUUUGUGGAGAGUCGAGGCAUCAAAUGGAGGCUCCACAUCUGGAAAUGAUAAUUCAUCUCUCUUCCUGUUCCAGCUUGGACCAGUCCUAUUUGUUCGCGAUUCAACACUUCUAUUGCCUGUUCAUUUAUCAAAGCAACACUUGCUUUGGUAUGGCUAUGAUAGGAAGAAUGGAAUGCAUUCUCUAUGUCCAGCUGUAUGGUCAAAGCAUAGAAGGUGGCUGUUAAUGUCAAUGCUCUGUCUCAAUCCUUUAGCUUGUUCAUUUGUGGAUCUGCAGUUUCCAAAUGGUCAGUUUACAUAUGUGUCUGGUGAGGGGCUGACUACAAGUGCUUUUCUACCUCUUUGUGGGGGGCUUCUCCAAGCUCAGGGGCGAUAUCCAGGGGAAAUGAGAUUUAGCUUCUCUCAUAAGAACAAGUGGGGUACACGCAUCACACCAAUGGUACAAUGGCCUGACAGAUCAUUUACAUUGGGCUUGGCACAAGCCUUAGCAUGGCAGAGAUCAGGUCUAAUGGUUAGACCGACAGUUCUGUUCAGUUUGUGCCCCACUUUUGGAGGAAGCAAUCCUGGUUUGCGAGCAGAACUUAUUCAUUCGGUGAAUGAGAAACUGAAUCUGAUCUGCGGCUGUGCAUUCAUGGCACAUCCUUCUAUAUUCGCAUCACUUUCUGUUGGACGGUCCAAGUGGAAUGGCAACAUUGGAAGCUCAGGACUCGUCAUUAGGGUUGAUACCCCACUCACUGAUGUUGGCCGACCAUCGUUCUCUGUUCAGAUAAAUAGUGGCAUCGAGUUUUGAAUGUGUAGCCAUGUGUAUAUAGACCCGGGCGUUUCACCAUAGGAUACCUCAUGUGAAUAUUUUGUGCUUCUUUCUAUCAAUUAUAUGCUUUCCCAUAUUUCUUUUUUCUCCUUUUUAAUUUCUAUUGAAGCUUUUUUGGCAGGUUGGGGCAAAUUGUAAAUUUUGAACUGGUCAAAGUUUGACAGUUCAAGCUUGAGAAAUAUCUACUUGUAUUGCACUAAUACGAACUAUGCUAUUGGAGCAUGUAAAUGAAAUGAUCUUAAUCCAAUCUAAUUAUAGGACAGGAUGCCAAAUGAUAGUUUGGGAUGCUAAUAAGCAUGAGAUUAAGAGUGACAAUUUUGCAAUGGCAUUACAUUUUCUUAUUCUGCAUCUGGAAUAGUCUUCUUGUUGCAUGGCUGGUGAUGGUGUGAGGAGAAGCGAAAGAGGAGAGAUUAAGAAGUUUUAGGUUAGUAUAAUUAAACUAUCAUUUUUAUUAUUUUUUCUUUUUCUAAUAUACUCUUGUAUCAGUACCCAUUAAAAUUAAAUGAUUCAUGUUAAGUUGUUUUUGGAA